rnacentral:rRNA from 1 species
UACGUAGGGUGCGAGCGUUAAUCGGAAUUACUGGGCGUAAAGCGUGCGCAGGCGGUGGCUCAAGCCAGGCGUGAAAUCCCCGGGCUUAACCUGGGAAUGGCAUUCGGGACUGCAAGGCUGGAGUGCGGCAGAGGAGACUGGAAUUCCUGGUGUAGCAGUGAAAUGCGUAGAUAUCAGGAGGAAUACCGAUGGCGAAGGCAGGUCUCUGGGCUGACACUGACGCUCAUGCACGAAAGCGUGGGGAGCAAACAGG